UUUCCAGACUCCUACGGGAGGCAGCAGUGGGGAAUAUUGCACAAUGGGGGAAACCCUGAUGCAGCGACGCCGCGUGAGCGAUGAAGUAUUUCGGUAUGUAAAGCUCUAUCAGCAGGGAAGAAAAUGACGGUACCUGACUAAGAAGCCCCGGCUAACUACGUGCCAGCAGCCGCGGUAAUACGUAGGGGGCAAGCGUUAUCCGGAUUUACUGGGUGUAAAGGGAGCGUAGACGGCGGUGCAAGCCAGAUGUGAAAGCCCGGGGCUCAACCCCGGGACUGCUUUUGAAACUGUUGAACUAGAUUGCAGGAGAGGUAAGUGGAAUUCCUAGUGUAGCGGUGAAAUGCGUAGAUAUUAGGAGGAACACCAGUGGCGAAGGCGGCUUACUGGACUGUAAAUGACGCUGAGGCUCGAAAGCGUGGGGAGCAAACAGGAUUAGAUACCCUAGUAAU
rnacentral:rRNA from 1 species